rnacentral:rRNA from 1 species
GAUGAACGCUGGCGGCGUGCCUAAUACAUGCAAGUCGAGCGAACAGACGAGGAGCUUGCUCCUCUGACGUUAGCGGCGGACGGGUGAGUAACACGUGGAUAACCUACCUAUAAGACUGGGAUAGCUUCGGGAAACCGGAGCUAAUACCGGAUAAUAUAUUGAACCGCAUGGUUCAAUAGUGAAAGACGGUUUUGCUGUCACUUAUAGAUGGAUCCGCGCCGCAUUAGCUAGUUGGUAAGGUAACGGCUUACCAAGGCAACGAUGCGUAGCCGACCUGAGAGGGUGAUCGGCCACACUGGAACUCAGACACGGUCCAGACUCCUACGGGAGGCAGCAGUAGGGAAUCUUCCGCAAUGGGCGAAAGCCUGACGGAGCAACGCCGCGUGAGUGAUGAAGGUCUUCGGAUCGUAAAACUCUGUUAUUAGGGAAGAACAAAUGUGUAAGUAACUAUGCACGUCUUGACGGUACCUAAUCAGAAAGCCACGGCUAACUACGUG